UUGAUACAAUCUUCUGUUGACAUUCAUUAAUAGUCUCCAUAACAAAAUGCAAGAGGUAGAUUUGAAAAUAUCUAAAACUCAUUCCAACUUCCAAUUAGUCAGUCAGACUAUAAAUGUAAUUAGACAGUCAGAAUAGAACAGAGAUGUUAUGUACUAAGCCCUAAGAAUUCUGAGCUAGCAGAAUGAAAAAUAAAAUAAAACCAUAUCCUAUCUCCUAAAUUCCUUAACAAUUUAUCUGACAGAAGUAUUUUUAAAAACCAACUACUCUACCUAAAACACAGUUUAUCUUGAGGGUAAGUCAAUGGUUUAGUUCUUAGCUUCUUAAUUGCUAGACAUUUCAAAAAAUAUUUUCACAUAAAAUGAAAAUAAACCACAGUGUGGCAUUUAAUGUAUUUUCAUUCAUGUUUCUGACUCUUCAUUAUAGGAGGCUCCUAUUAGAUGGAGAUAACCAAUAUAUCAAAUAAGGGGAAAAAUCCACUAACUCAGUGAGUAGUAAUUAACAAGUCUUUCAAGUUUAUUUUUCUACUGUGGAAAAUGCGAAAGAAAGCUAAGGAAAUAUAUCAAAACUCCUUAGUCUAAAACUCUGAAUUGCUAUCUCUUAUUAAAAGGACAAACAACUAAAUGUCUUCAUCAAAGUAAUGUAACUCAGCUUUGCUGUCAGUAAGCAGGAAGAAAACUGAAAGAGCCGAAUGUUAAGAAGAAAAACAAAACAAAAUAAUACUUUGCUAAAAAUAUCCCCCAAAUUAAAACCAUAAUGCAUGCCUGUGUAAUUCUAACUAAUGACUUCUAUACUCUGUGCAAUAAAAGGCAAGAAUAAGUUAAAAGUUAAGUACUCUCUGAAAUUCACAGGAAGCAUAUGGUCAGGAUCAAAGCUGCCCGGGCUAGCUGAGAAACUAAAACUGACUUAAAAUCCUAGGUCCAUUCAUCUGGAGACCAAAUUCUGACUGACCUUAAGCAGUUCACAUGACAUCAGACUCUGUCUCUGUAAAAUGUUAUGGUAAUAAAGCCUACGACUCAUGAGAAAGUAACUAGAUUUAACAUUAACAUUUCUAACGGAUACUGAUUAACAAGAGUCAUCAUCACGGUUUGAUUUGGAAGUUAGAAGAACCUACCUGCUUACAACUUUCUUCCAAAUAACAAGUAUCUCAAUAAUGGUUUCCACAGGAAAAUACAAUCAACACUAAUGCAACAGAUCUAAUACAAUGUGAGAAUAGGUUUUUAAGAAGAGGAAGAGAGAAGGGAGGAAGGGAAAGAGGAGGGAGAAGAGAAGGAAAAAGAGGAGGAGAAGGAGAAAGAAAAGUAAAAAGAGACAAAAGAAUGUGAAUUCCUAGAAUGAGAAAAAAUAGGUUGAAAUUUCAAAUGUAAGACACAAACAUUAGUUUGGGGAU